UCAAAAAAAGGAAAGAUAUUGGUGAAUUAGCUUGCUUGGAUUCGUUUCUUCGGUUAAGUGCAGCGAGUGUUCCGUCGACUUCGACUCGACCUCAGCUCUAGACAGUGUCCAGCACAUCAGGGUGAGCUAUUUCUUCUAGCUCGUGUUGGAUUCUCUCGGGCAUGACAUGAUGUCCAUAGUUUUUGGACACAUUAAGUUAUUUAUUUAUUCUGAUGUUUGAUAUUUUCAGACGUAGUAUUUUAGAAUUAGAUGUCCUUGAAGUGAUGACUUACAAGUUUUGGGAAGACGUAUCUAAUAGACUUUAGUGGUUUUAUUGUC